CGGAGGAUCCAAGCGUUAUCCGGAAUCAUUGGGUUUAAAGGGUCCGUAGGCGGGUUUAUAAGUCAGUGGUGAAAGCCCAUCGCUCAACGAUGGAACGGCCAUUGAUACUGUAGAUCUUGAAUUAUUAGGAAGUAACUAGAAUAUGUAGUGUAGCGGUGAAAUGCUUAGAGAUUACAUGGAAUACCAAUUGCGAAGGCAGGUUACUACUAAUGGAUUGACGCUGAUGGACGAAAGCGUGGGGUAGCGAACAGGAUUAGAUACCCUGGUAGUCCACGCCGUAAACGAUGGAUACUAGCUGUUCGGAGCAAUCUGAGUGGCUAAGCGAAAGUGAUAAGUAUCCCACCUGGGGAUACGUUCGCAAGAUG
rnacentral:rRNA from 1 species